AUGCGUGGCAUUAGCUUGUUGGCGGGGUAACGGCCCACCAAGGCGACGAUGCCUAGGGGUUCUGAGAGGAAGGUCCCCCACACUGGUACUGAGACACGGACCAGACUCCUACGGGAGGCAGCAGUGAGGAAUAUUGGUCAAUGGGCGAGAGCCUGAACCAGCCAAGUCGCGUGAGGGACGACGGCCCUACGGGUUGUAAACCUCUUUUGCCGGGGGACAAACGGCGGCACGCGUGCCGUCCUGAGGGUACCCGGAGAAAAAGCAUCGGCUAACUCCGUGCCAGCAGCCGCGGUAAUACGGAGGAUGCGAGCGUUAUCCGGAUUUAUUGGGUUUAAAGGGUGCGUAGGCGGGAUGCCAAGUCAGCGGUCAAAUACGGGGGCUCAACCUGCGUCCGCCGUUGAAACUGGCGUUCUUGAGUGGGCGAGAAGUACGCGGAAUGCGUGGUGUAGCGGUGAAAUGCAUAGAUAUCACGCAGAACCCCGAUUGCGAAGGCAGCGUACCGGCGCCCAACUGACGCUGAAGCACGAAAGCGUGGGUAUCGAACAGGAUUAGAUACCCUGGUAGUCCACGCAGUAAACGAUGAACACUAAUUGUCCGGCGGGGUUUGCCGCUGG
rnacentral:rRNA from 1 species